rnacentral:rRNA from 1 species
UACGAAGGGGGCUAGCGUUGCUCGGAAUCACUGGGCGUAAAGCGCACGUAGGCGGAUUUGUAAGUCAGGGGUGAAAUCCCGGGGCUCAACCUCGGAACUGCCUUUGAUACUGCAAAUCUCGAGUCCGGAAGAGGUGAGUGGAAUUCCUAGUGUAGAGGUGGAAUUCGUAGAUAUUAGGAAGAACACCAGUGGCGAAGGCGGCUCACUGGUCCGGUACUGACGCUGAGGUGCGAAAGCGUGGGGAGCAAACAGG